CGCUGGCGGCAGGCUUAACACAUGCAAGUCGAGCGGGCCCUUCGGGGUCAGCGGCGGACGGGUGAGUAACGCGUGGGAACGUGCCCUCUGGUCUGGAAUAACCCUGGGAAACUAGGGCUAAUACCGGAUACGCCCUUUUGGGGAAAGGCUUGCUGCCGGAGGAUCGGCCCGCGUCUGAUUAGCUAGUUGGUGGGGUAACGGCCUACCAAGGCGACGAUCAGUAGCUGGUCUGAGAGGAUGAUCAGCCACACUGGGACUGAGACACGGCCCAGACUCCUACGGGAGGCAGCAGUGGGGAAUAUUGGACAAUGGGCGCAAGCCUGAUCCAGCCAUGCCGCGUGAGUGAUGAAGGCCUUAGGGUUGUAAAGCUCUUUUAUCCGGGACGAUAAUGACGGUACCGGAGGAAUAAGCCCCGGCUAACUUCGUGCCAGCAGCCGCGGUAAUACGAAGGGGGCUAGCGUUGCUCGGAAUCACUGGGCGUAAAGGGCGCGUAGGCGGCGUUUUAAGUCGGGGGUGAAAGCCUGUGGCUCAACCACAGAAUGGCCUUCGAUACUGGGACGCUUGAGUAUGGUAGAGGUCGGUGGAACUGCGAGUGUAGA
rnacentral:rRNA from 1 species